rnacentral:rRNA from 1 species
UACGAAGGGGGCUAGCGUUGUUCGGAAUCACUGGGCGUAAGGCGCACGUAGGCGGAUGUGUCAGUCAGGGGUGAAAUCCCGGAGCUCAACUUCGGAACUGCCUCUGAUACAGCACGUCUUGAGUUCGAGAGAGGUGGGUGGAAUUCCUAGUGUAGAGGUGAAAUUCGUAGAUAUUAGGAAGAACACCGGUGGCGAAGGCGGCCCACUGGCUCGAUACUGACGCUGAGGUGCGAAAGCGUGGGGAGCAAACAGG